AAAAUGCUGGUUGAUGAAAAAAAGAGUGAUCCAUCGUCUGACAGACGCUGCUGAUAACAUUUGUUUUCUGACAGCAUUUG